rnacentral:rRNA from 1 species
AGAGUUUGAUCCUGGCUCAGGAUGAACGCUAGCUACAGGCUUAACACAUGCAAGUCGAGGGGCAGCAUUUCAGUUUGCUUGCAAACUGGAGAUGGCGACCGGCGCACGGGUGAGUAACACGUAUCCAACCUGCCGAUAACUCGGGGAUAGCCUUUCGAAAGAAAGAUUAAUACCCGAUGGUAUAAUCAGACCGCAUGGUCUUGUUAUUAAAGAAUUUCGGUUAUCGAUGGGGAUGCGUUCCAUUAGGCAGUUGGUGAGGUAACGGCUCACCAAACCUUCGAUGGAUAGGGGUUCUGAGAGGAAGGUCCCCCACAUUGGAACUGAGACACGGUCCAAACUCCUACGGGAGGCAGCAGUGAGGAAUAUUGGUCAAUGGGCGCAGGCCUGAACCAGCCAAGUAGCGUGAAGGAUGACUGCCCUAUGGGUUGUAAACUUCUUUUAUAUGGGAAUAAAGUUUUCCACGUGUGGAAUUUUGUAUGUACCAUAUGAAUAAG